CCUACGGGCGGCUGCAGUGGGGAAUAUUGCACAAUGGGCGCAAGCCUGAUGCAGCCAUGCCGCGUGUGUGCAGAAGGCCUUCGGGUUGUAAAGCACUUUCAGCGGGGAGGAAGGCGGUGAGGUUAAUAACCUCAUCGAUUGACGUUACCCGCAGAAGAAGCACCGGCUAACUCCGUGCCAGCAGCCGCGGUAAUACGGAGGGUGCAAGCGUUAAUCGGAAUUACUGGGCGUAAAGCGCACGCAGGCGGUCUGUCAAGUCGGAUGUGAAAUCCCCGGGCUCAACCUGGGAACUGCAUUCGAAGCUGGCAGGCUAGAGUCUUGUAGAGGGGGGUAGAAUUCCAGGUGUAGCGGUGAAAUGCGUAGAGAUCUGGAGGAAUACCGGUGGCGAAGGCGGCCCCCUGGACAAAGACUGACGCUCAGGUGCGAAAGCGUGGGGAGCAAACAGGAUUAGAUACCCGAGUAGUC
rnacentral:rRNA from 1 species